CAUGCAAGUCGAACGAGAGAGAAGGAGCUUGCUUCUUCGAUCGAGUGGCGAACGGGUGAGUAACGCGUGAGGAACCUGCCUCAAAGAGGGGGACAACAGUUGGAAACGACUGCUAAUACCGCAUAAGCCCACGGGUCGGCAUCGACCUGAGGGAAAAGGAGCAAUCCGCUUUGAGAUGGCCUCGCGUCCGAUUAGCUAGUUGGUGAGGUAACGGCCCACCAAGGCGACGAUCGGUAGCCGGACUGAGAGGUUGAACGGCCACAUUGGGACUGAGACACGGCCCAGACUCCUACGGGAGGCAGCAGUGGGGAAUAUUGCACAAUGGGGGAAACCCUGAUGCAGCGACGCCGCGUGGAGGAAGAAGGUCUUCGGAUUGUAAACUCCUGUUGUUGAGGAAGAUAAUGACGGUACUCAACAAGGAAGUGACGGCUAACUAUGUGCCAGCAGCCGCGGUAAAACGUAGGUCACAAGCGUUGUCCGGAAUUACUGGGUGUAAAGGGAGCGCAGGCGGGAAGACAAGUUGGAAGUGAAAUCUAUGGGCUCAACCCAUAAACUGCUUUCAAAACUGUUUUUCUUGAGUAGUGCAGAGGUAGGCGGAAUUCCCGGUGUAGCGGUGGAAUGCGUAGAUAUCGGGAGGAACACCAGUGGCGAAGGCGGCCUACUGGGCACCAACUGACGCUGAGGCUCGAAAGUGUGGGUAGCAAACAGGAUUAGAUACCCUGGUAGUCCACACCGUAAACGAUGAUUACUAGGUGUUGGAGGAUUGACCCCUUCAGUGCCGCAGUUAACACAAUAAGUAAUCCGCCUGGGGAGUACGACCGCA
rnacentral:rRNA from 1 species